rnacentral:rRNA from 1 species
UCUAAUCGUUCCAAAUUCUCAUAAGUGGCAUUAAUCAAAUUCGAUU